AUUGAACGCUGGCGGCAUGCUUUACACAUGCAAGUCGAACGGUAACAGGCCGCAAGGUGCUGACGAGUGGCGAACGGGUGAGUAAUGCAUCGGAACGUGCCCAGUCGUGGGGGAUAACGCAGCGAAAGCUGCGCCAAUACCGCAUACGAUCUAUGGAUGAAAGCGGGGGACCGUAAGGCCUCGCGCGAUUGGAGCGGCCGAUGUCAGAGUAGGUAGUUGGCGGGGUAAAGGCCUACCAAGCCAACGAUCUGUAGCUGGUCUGAGAGGACGACCAGCCACACCGGGACUGAGACACGGCCCAGACUCCUACGGGAGGCAGCAGUGGGGAAUUUUGGACAAUGGGCGCAAGCCUGAUCCAGCAAUGCCGCGUGCAGGAAGAAGGCCUUCGGGUUGUAAACUGCUUUUGUACGGAACGAAAAGGCUCUGGUUAAUACCUGGGGCUCAUGACGGUACCGUAAGAAUAAGCACCGGCUAACUACGUGCCAGCCGCCGCCGUAAAAC
rnacentral:rRNA from 1 species